rnacentral:rRNA from 1 species
GGGACACGUGGUAUCCUGUCUGAAUAUGGGGGGACCAUCCUCCAAGGCUAAAUACUCCUGACUGACCGAUAGUGAACCAGUACCGUGAGGGAAAGGCGAAAAGAACCCCGGCGAGGGGAGUGAAAAAGAACCUGAAACCGUGUACGUACAAGCAGUGGGAGCCUCUUAAUGGGGUGACUGCGUACCUUUUGUAUAAUGGGUCAGCGACUUAUAUUCUGUAGCAAGGUUAACCGAAUAGGGGAGCCGAAGGGAAACCGAGUCUUAACUGGGCGUUAAGUUGCAGGGUAUAGACCCGAAACCCGGUGAUCUAGCCAUGGGCAGGUUGAAGGUUGGGUAACACUAACUGGAGGACCGAACCGACUAAUGUUGAAAAAUUAGCGGAUGACUUGUGGCUGGGGGUGAAAGGCCAAUCAAACCGGGAGAUAGCUGGUUCUCCCCGAAAGCUAUUUAGGUAGCGCCUCGUGAAUUCAUCUCCGGGGGUAGAGCACUGUUUCGGCAAGGGGGUCAUCCCGACUUACCAACCCGAUGCAAACUGCGAAUACCGGAGAAUGUUAUCACGGGAGACACACGGCGGGUGCUAACGUCCGUCGUGAAGAGGGAAACAACCCAGACCGCCAGCUAAGGUCCCAAAGUCAUGGUUAAGUGGGAAACGAUGUGGGAAGGCCCAGACAGCCAGGAUGUUGGCUUAGAAGCAGCCAUCAUUUAAAGAAAGCGUAAUAGCUCACUGGUCGAGUCGGCCUGCGCGGAAGAUGUAACGGGGCUAAACCAUGCACCGAAGCUGCGGCAGCGACACUAUGUGUUGUUGGGUAGGGGAGCGUUCUGUAAGCCUGUGAAGGUGUGCUGUGAGGCAUGCUGGAGGUAUCAGAAGUGCGAAUGCUGACAUAAGUAACGAUAAAGCGGGUGAAAAGCCCGCUCGCCGGAAGACCAAGGGUUCCUGUCCAACGUUAAUCGGGGCAGGGUGAGUCGACCCCUAAGGCGAGGCCGAAAGGCG